AACGCAACUUGCACCCUUUGGCAUUCCGAGGGGUACGUCUGUUUGAGCGUCGUGGAUAUCUCAACUCGUUUGCUUUUUCAUUAUGAAAAGUGAGCGAGCUUUUGGACUUGGAGGAAUGCCGAGGCCCUUGUGUUGGCUCCUCUUGAAUGCAUUAGCGAAGACCCUUUGCAUGGCUUUGACGUGAUAAUGAUUGUCUACGUCGAUAGGCUUGGCUCUGUUCGGAAUCGCUUCCUAAUUGUCACCCUUUGGGGGACAAUCGCUUGCGAAAGACCCUUGGUCUUGCAAGAAAUCAAACUAGACCUCAAAUCAGACGGGACUACCCGCUGAACUUAA
rnacentral:misc_RNA from 1 species